UACGGGGGGAGCAAGCGUUGUUCGAAUUUACUGGGCGUAAAGGGCGCGUAGGCGGCCACCGCAAGUCGGUUGUGAAAUCUCUGGGCUUAACCCAGAAAGGUCAACCGAUACUGCGGGGCUAGAGUGCAGAAGGGGCAACUGGAAUUCUCGGUGUAGCGGUGAAAUGCGUAGAUAUGCGGAGGAACACCGAUGGCGAAGGCAAUCCCCUGGGCCUGCACUGACGCUCAUGCACGAAAGCGUGGGGAGCAAACAGG
rnacentral:rRNA from 1 species